GGGGAAUAUUGCACAAUGGGCGAAAGCCUGAUGCAGCGACGCCGCGUGAGGGAUGACGGCCUUCGGGUUGUAAACCUCUUUCAGCAGGGAAGAAGCGAAAGUGACGGUACCUGCAGAAGAAGCACCGGCUAACUACGUGCCAGCAGCCGCGGUAAUACGUAGGGUGCGAGCGUUGUCCGGAAUUAUUGGGCGUAAAGAGCUUGUAGGCGGUUUGUCGCGUCUGCCGUGAAAAUCCGGGGCUCAACCCCGGACUUGCGGUGGGUACGGGCAGACUAGAGUGUGGUAGGGGAGACUGGAAUUCCUGGUGUAGCGGUGAAAUGCGCAGAUAUCAGGAGGAACACCGAUGGCGAAGGCAGGUCUCUGGGCCACUACUGACGCUGAGAAGCGAAAGCGUGGGGAGCGAAC
rnacentral:rRNA from 1 species